GGAACGGGUUGGAAAGCCGUCUUCCUGAAGAAAGGUCACAGGAACGGGGCCCGGGUAGCGUAGACGUAUGGAAAGGCCAACCUACCUACAUGCUACAAGAAGGUGACUAAGCAGAGAUCUCUCGUCAUUACAGUAGCCGGUCCUCGGAUAUUUGAUUCAGAGCUCUUCUUCUGGGGUUUCUGGCCCAUUGCUCUCUCUCUCUUUUUGUUUCCCAGACAUCAAGAAGUCAUUUGAGACCUAGUUAAUGUAAGUGGAACUUCCAAACCUCCCCAUCUUUAAAAGUCUCCUCAGACUUCUGUGACGUCCGUGCAGCGGCUGGGGAGUUGUGUCAUGACCUCAGAUUCCUCCAGAGAUCCCCAAAGAUGAAUCUACAGGGGUAGCAGCUUCUACCUGGGUCAAAUCUCCUUUGCCAGAUCCUCCAACACUAUUCGGUCUUAAAGCACUGCUGAUUCCAAGUUCACGGGUCUUGCUACAGCAUGUGCCUUGCUGGCCUUAGCACGUGCAUCUGUCUCAGCUGACAUCACUCUGCCAAUCAGCCCAAGUCCUCAAAAGUGACUGGAGAGUUGAGAAUUUACAGAAUGCAUGAUUUGCUAAUGAUGCCUGUCAUACAGCUAAUGGAGUUGUACUAGGAUUCAAACUUCAAUCCACUUGCAAAGACCACAGGGACAGGACAACCCUGCCCAGUACAGUUCCACUGUUCAUGACUCCUCCCUCCUUAGGGGGGCCAACACACUUCACUUCUUUUCAGCAGAUGCUCAAUGAAGGUG
rnacentral:lncRNA from 1 species